UGUGUCUGUACGAUCCAUCAAAACGUUAAGUUAAUGAUGCUUGGUGCGAAUAUUCAUUCUCUAACAAGAAAUACAGAUAUAUCCAUUACACACUAUAGUGAUUGUUUGAGUUUGAUUGUAUAUUGUAAUAAUCAUGAUGCCGUUGCCGUACAUGUUUUUAUCAAAUUAAUAACUGACUAUGUGAAAAGUCUUCCUGAACGUUGUAACAAAAUUUAUUAUUUUUCUGACGG